rnacentral:lncRNA from 1 species
GUUAUCUAAUUGUUGUAUGCGAAAUUGAUCACAACUAGGCCAACGAUGGCAGCCUAAUUUCAAGAUAUAAAACUAAUACUUGAAGUAAAAUACAUUGUUAUGAGGAUUUAGAGUUUGAACAAACACCGACGACCUUUAACCAAAGCAAAGUACAUUCUUGAUGCUAAUAUACAUGCUGAAAUGAGGUUACAAUUCAUGAUUAUUAACAGGUCAUAUAUAGGUCGUUUCAUCAUUUAAAGUUACCAAUUCGAAUUUCCAUCAAGAAGAAACAAUCUAAAGUUUCAGAAGGACUUUAUGUAUUAACAAUGAAAUUGGAACUGCCUGACUCUAGACCUUGAAAGGGAAACAAACACUGGCUGAUUUUAUCUAAACCAAAUGAGAGAUUUUCCUAUAUUGCAACACAACAAACUUCAUGCUCAAACAACAACCAAUCUUCUACAUCUUAAAGUCAGAACUACUACUAAUCAUCGUUGAAACUAAAAAACUAAGUGAAACUACCAAGAGUAUUAUAACCGAUCACCCUAUUGGUAUUACUAUCAAAACAUAGACAACUUUUACUUCAGUUUUCAUUACAACACUUGAUAGGAUUUCAAAACAUAUACAUAGGCCUAGCAACAUAGAUUCAACAUGAUAUUCUCAAUCAAAUCCCAUGUAUCAAAUCAGACGAGAUUUCUAAAUCCUAUAUUGACUUCUUUGACAAGAGGGGCUUGGUCUGGUUAACUUACAACCGAGAGGUUGUGAGUUCGAGUCUCCCCAGGAGCAAAUUCUGGGGAUUUAUGCCGNNNN